rnacentral:lncRNA from 1 species
GAACUUGAAACUCUGCAAGCGAAAGGAUCUCUAGAAACGACUAACUGAAUUCUCCUAGGUAACAACAAGCUUCCAAGUUCCUCAUUAGUUCCGUAUUUUUUACCCAUUCUGCCUCACGCAAAUAUUUAUAUAUUUGAUUGCUAAUAUUUUUAGAAAAAAAUAUAUAUAGAUUUAUGUUUUUAGAUCCCAAAAUACUUUAAUAAUAUAUAGUUUAUAUGUUGUGGAACUAAGGAUUAUUAAAAUGGUUGGUCAAAGAUAGUAAUGUUUGACUUAGGAUAAAGCUAAUGUGAUAUGUAAAAAAGAAUAGAGGGGACAAUAUUAGAGUUUUUUUGUUAUAGUUCAAAGGCUAUACUUGGUAUUGCACUCUGUACCUAGCAAAAUGUACAUAUGUUCUCUUUUUGUGGAGUUGUGUUUGCUACAUUAUAAAACAUCAUUUGAAAAAAAGAAAGGAAUAGCAUCGUUGAAAGUCAGCUAAGUUGAGUUGUAGCUCAGCCAAACUCACAAAAGGUUUGAGCUUUACACAUGGUAUCUGAAAUGUUUACUGGACAGUAGCAAAUAGGACUCAUAAACUUGCAUACGGGUGAGAAGAUACUGAUCGUAUUCACCUUUUUAGAACUUUGCUCGACUAUAUACACAUAGGAUUCCAUUUUCUUGUCUAUGGGGCUGAACCAGCUAAAACGGGGUCCCCUUGCUCAGGUUCUGUGCCUCCAUGUGCUCAAGUCAACUCUGAUGGUACAUGCGCAUAAACAGCUUCUAUACAGAAGGUACCUACUGUAUUACAAUAGAUGUGGUCAUGUCCUUGGAGUAUGGGGGCACAUGAAUGUAAUUGGAUUUGGAGUCCCAUGAAUAGAGUGACGUUUCUGGGACAAUUAAUUAGUUCCACAUUGGGUUGCCUUUUGUGAUAGCCUCAUAGGUGCCCUUGAACAUGUCAAGCAUCACACU